rnacentral:misc_RNA from 1 species
GGAAUGUAUGCAUCAUGGGCUUAUGCAUUAGCACAGGUGGCAAUUGAAAUUCCGUAUCUUUUAGCUCAAGCACUUUCAUUUACUGUCAUCACCUAUUCGAUGAUUGGAUAUUAUUGGUCGGCCCACAAGGUUUUGUGGUACUUCUAUUCGAUGUUCUGCACAUUGUUGUACUUCACAUACUUGGGAAUGAUGCUUGUUUCAUUGACACCAAACUUGCCAGUAGCUGCAAUUCUCCAGUCAUCCUUUUACACAAUGUUCAACCUCUUUGCCGGAUUCUUGAUACCAAAAGCUCAAAUUCCAAAAUGGUGGAUCUGGUUCUAUUAUCUAGUACCUACAUCGUGGACGUUGAAUGGGAUGCUUACUUCACAAUAUGGAGAUGUUGAUACAGAGAUUACUGUGUUUGGAGAUAAGAAAUCAGUAGCAGCC